AAUAUGGUUGCGAUCUUGUUAGGUUAUUUGAAUGAUCCAGAGGCUACUUCGAGAACCAUAGACAAAGAUGGAUGGUUACACACAGGAGACAUUGGGUUUGUAGAUGAUGAUGAUGAGAUCUUCAUUGUUGAUCGUUUGAAAGAACUGAUCAAAUUCAAAGGCUAUCAAGUGGCACCAGCUGAGCUUGAAGCAUUGCUUAUUUCUCAUCCUUCUAUCGAGGAUGCUGCUGUUGUCCCGUGUGUAAAUGAAAAUCUUAAAAGUACUUUCGAUUUGAAAACUCUAUUAAUGUUUUUGUCAUUUUCUAAUGAUAUUUUGAUAUUUCAGAAUGAAAGAUGAAGUAGCUGGUGAGAUUCCUGUGGCGUUUGUAGUUCGAUCGAAAGGGUCUCGGCUAGUCGAAAAUGAUGUCAAGAGUUAUGUUAACAAAAAGGUGAGAUUCUGAGAUUUCUCUUUUGGUCUUCAAAAACGGCCUGGGAAACACAUAAGUUAAUAAUAUGGAUCCUUUAUAUGUCUUAAAUCAACUGUGUGAUGAUCUAUAUAUAGGUGGUUCACUACAAGAGAAUCAAGAGGGUGUUUUUCGUAGAAACUAUACCGAAGGCAGUUUCGGGAAAGCUUUUAAGAAAGGAACUCCGAGCUAAACUGUAAACCGAGUAUUCUUUAAAGAUUCAAGAGAAUUUCGAAUGUAUGCGUAAGCUCGAACAUUGAUGCCAGUAAAAAGUAAGUAUAGAGAGAGAUUAUUAAGUAUGAUAACGUCUUAACUUAUUUACCCUCAUUGAUCUUGUUUUAGUUAGGUUAUGCUUUCUAUACCCGUAUAAUAAUGUCUCAUGGAGACUGAUUCGUGUUUUAUCGAGUGUUUGGUGGUUUCUACAAGGGCGUGGAAGGAGCUCCAUAAUCGGAAUUAUUAUCAGGCAAAAAAAGUAGUUGCAAUUUUCAAAAAAAAAAAAAAACUAUACAUAAUGUAUAACUAGCUAAUUUCGAUACUCUAGAAUAUUCUAAAAGACAUAAAGACAUAUUCCCUAUCUGUUCUCACGAUGGAGUGGUGGCGUCUCGUCUAAAUUAAAACCACACUCUGAAAGUAUCAUGUAGAUGCUUUUGCACAUCUUUGUACCAAGCACAUGAUCUCCAAUACACUGAAGCAAUUUCAAAUGCUUUAUGAUACUCUUUUUUGUAAAAUACACACAAAAAAAUAAAAAGAAAAAAUCCAGUAAACUAAGUGAUUAAACAAGUACUAUUUUGUUUUUUUUUUUUUCGUUUUUAAACAUUUUUUUCCAGCUAGUUCAGUCUAGAGGAUUAUGAAGCAGAAACACACCCGCUAAACAGAUGAUCGUAUAUGUAAAAACCUUUUGUUCAUGUUCAUGGCCACAUUACAAACAAAAAGCAUAAUUAAGUAGCCUUUUUUGUGUGUGAAUGCAUGCUCCAGAAUCACCAAGAACCUGAGGUGGACAUUUGUAUUAGAUUCCUUUAUUAUACUAAGACAUCAAGGCUAGACGCUUAUACAAGAAGAAAAUAGUUGAAAAACUGAGGUUUUCAUGCAUGAGCAAAAUUGAAACAAAUUAAAUGAUAAUUUUCUGAAUUCUACCAAUUGCAAGAAAAUCACAUGCUUUUCUUCAGUGUGUGUGUGUGUAUGUGUGUGUGAAUUAGAGUUAACGAAGUGUUCGUCACAGACUCCAUUCCUAAAGCUCCAUCGAGGAAUAUAUUGUGGAAGGAGCUGAGAGCGAGACUAGCAAAUGGAUUUUGACGGAAGGAAUUCAAGUCAAAACGAUCAAAUGUGUACGUAAUCUUAUCAGACCAAAAAAAAGAAAUCGUUGAUGGGCAAUUAAGUAAAGAAAGGACAACAUGUUACCAUACUAUAGUAUGACCUAAAGGUAAAAUAUAGAUCAACGGUUGUCUCCCACUCAAAUAGCAUUCACCAAAAAAUGAAUAAUCAUCUUAAACUAUUGGAAAAAAGGCUGGAGUGUCAAAGACUAGAGACGAUUACAGAUAGAAUAGAAUCCACUUAUCAUGAAUUCGUAAUAAAUCAAGAUGUCAAAAUACAAAAAAAAAAAAAAAAAAAACUGCAUAGAAUCUAGCCAAGGUAAGGAAGGUGCCAACUGUGACCACAUCUAUGGGAAUGGAUGUAAAAGAAACUACUGUAGAAUGAUCGAUCCAAAAUGUUUAGAAUAUUUAUUGAAUAUUUUACCUGUAAUUGUAAUCUAUUUAAAAUAAUUAUAUUAUUAUUCACAUUUUAAUUAAUUGUACCCAUGUAGAAUUAUUUUAUUGAUAUAACCACAUAGAUAUGUACUCGUGCUCUUAAUUUCUCAAUUUCAUACACAUACACACACACAUAUAUAUAUAUAUAUAGAUAUUAUAUAUACAGUAUUUUUUUGACCGAUUUUGAUCACUGUACAGUUAUUUUCUCUUGGGGCUAAUUUUAAAUUGUCCCUAACAGCAAUACAAUAAUAUCCAUUCCUAUCAAACAAACAAGAAAGCAAAGACUAUUGAUCAUGAACAUGCAAUAUUAUCCUUUAAUUGAAGCAGAAUUCACAAUCAUCUGCUAAAUGUAUUUUAUUUCGUACAAAGCUUAGUGACACGUUUUGUAAAAUAAUGAAGAAAGAACCAAUUUUAAUACUCUAUAAAAAUCAAAUUACUUUGUUUUAUAGCUAUGUUUUAUUGUUUUAUAACUACUUUAAAAAUAAAACAAAAAUUUAAUUUUAAAAAUUUCAAAAAUUAGGUGUUCAUAACAUAUAAUAAAUAAUCAAAAGUAAUUUUCUUUUAGUAAUGACAAUUGUGGCGCAAAAGGAGCAGUGAAACUGGCCCACUCACCAACUACAAAGCAAUAGCUUAUAGACAAUAUCAUUAAGAAAAAUCGAAUAAGAAGGAAAUAAAUCAAUAAUGAAUCAUUACCAAUCCAAAACGUACCAUUAUAAAAACCCAAUCAAACAAAAUCGAAAAGCAAACGUUACAUUUUGAGAAGAAAGUUUGUUUUCUCUUUUUUUCUUGCUUUCGUGAAGUAGAAUCUCCACACAAAUGGUGCUCCAACAACAAACACAUUUUCUCACAAAGAAGACAAAUCAAGAACCUUCUCAAGAUUUCAUUUUCCGAUCCAAACUUCCCGAUAUCUCCAUCCCCAAUCACCUUCCUCUCACCGAUUACGUCUUCCAAAGAUUCUCCGGCGACGGAGACGGCGACUCUACCAAAACUUGUCUCAUCGACAGUGCCACCGGACGUAUCUUUACCUACGCCGAUGUACAAACCAAUUUCCGGCGAAUCGCCGCCGGGAUCCACCGGCUCGGAAUCCGCCACUGUGACACCGUGAUGCUCCUUCUCCCGAACUCGCCGGAGUUUGCUCUGAUUUUCCUUGCCCUAGCUCACCUCGGAGCCGUAUCCACCACGGCAAAUCCGUUCUACACACAGUCCGAGAUCGCAAAACAGGCAAAAGCCUCCGCCGCGAAGAUGAUCAUCACGAAGCGGUGUUACGUCGAUAAACUCACAAACCUGAAAAACGACGGCGUUUUGAUCGUUUGCGUAGACAACAACGAAGACGAUGAUCACUGCGUUUUGUUAGUUGCUGGUUGCGUGAGUUUCAAGGAACUGACACAAGCGGACGAAACAGAGCUUCCUAAACCGGAGAUCUCGCCGGAGGACACCGUGGCGAUGCCGUACUCCUCCGGGACCACGGGGCUACCGAAGGGAGUGAUGAUUACUCACAAGGGAUUAGUGACGAGCAUCGCUCAGAAAGUCGACGGAGAAAACCCUAAUCUCAACUUCACCGCAGAUGACGUCAUCCUCUGUUUUCUCCCGAUGUUUCACAUUUUCGCGCUCGACGCUCUGAUGCUCACGGCGAUGAGGACCGGUGCGGCGAUCUUGAUCGUGCCGAGGUUUGAGCUGAAGCUGGUGAUGGAACUGAUUCAGAGGUACAAAGUAACGGUGGUUCCGGUGGCUCCUCCGGUGGUUUUAGCGUUCGUUAAGUCCACGGAGACGGAGAAGUAUGACCUGAGCUCGGUGAGGAUGAUGCUUUCAGGCGCGGCUACAUUGAAGAAGGAGCUUGAAGACGCCGUGCGUCUCAAGUUUCCCAAUGCCAUAUUUGGUCAGGUCAGUUUUAAGUUCAUUUCCUCUUACUUUCACAACUAGUUUCUUAGUUUCUUCAUAGAUUUUAAUGCAAGUGGACAUAGGGAGUCUAGUUAAAAUCUGAUAAAUAAGACAAUUGUGAUUGACUAAUAAUUAGUGGAGAAGUAACUUAGUAGAAAACGGAUGAGUAUGAUUAUUUGAUUAGAUUACAUAUGAUUCAUGUGGUACGUGCUUAGUAGUUAACUUGCGUUAUUCAUGGGUAAUUAGUAGAAAAUGCUUGUGGUAGGUGAAGAAUUGUCGCUAUGUGCAAUUGCCUAUUGACGUGAGUAAUCAAAUGGAAUAUUUUUAAUGUAUAGAUUGAUACACUAACAAAUUGAGGUUGAAGAAAUGGAUUAGUGGGUGGUUUACCAAACCUAAGCUUUAAAACUGUUUAUGUCAGUAUCUAGAUCAUAGGCGCGUCACCAAAUAUCGAAUAUUUUUUGGUAACAAGAUCUUCGAUGUUAGAGUACACCAAUAUAUUUGAUUUUAUGUAGACAUAUGAUUACCUACCGAUCGUUGUCAUUAUCUUGACUAUACUAGUCAAUUAAUCAGAUGAAACGUAAGUAUCCCGUGGUGGUAAACAAAUUAUAAAGAUAAUAAAAAACGUACUAUUUGGAAUUACAAAUCAAACAACAAUUCCAAAUUCUUCGACCAGCACAAUGUAUUCUAUUAAAAGCCAAAACCAAUAGUUAGUAUCCACAUUUGAGACGACCAAAUAGAACUAUAAAAGGAUGAUUCAUUAUUUUAUUUUUUUGGCAAGAAAAACACUUGAAUCGCUUUGAGCUGUGAUGAAACUGGUUCUAGCUAUGAGUUGGGUCCUUCGCAUUCAUCUGAAACAUUAAAAAAAAAAAAUUAAUCCCAGUGCCCCUUUAUUAUGCACUUUCUCUGUUUGGUUUCUGACUGUCUUGUGUUGCUUUUACAAUAACGUGUGAAUCAAUUUCAGUUAUCUGAAAAAGAUAUGUACUAAAAGCGUAUAACAGUAAGUAUUGAAUUAUUUGCACCGUUUAGUCCAUUACUGGGGGCACAUUCAUGAUUCAUGACUCGUCUCUUUAUAAGAAUCACCAAUUCGAAUCGAUCUUAUAGCUCAUUUAUUAUAUAAGUAUUUGACUUAUUGGUUUGACAACCAAAAAUAUACUCCAGCAUUGACUUAUUGUUAGAUUAUGGGGGAUCAUACACGAAAACGUUAACAGUUCCUAUCAAAUUUAAAUUCAAUUUGGACGACCAACGCACAUGUUGAAUCAACCCCAUUGUGACAUUGUCAAAACAUUAAUUUCUCGUUUACUUUAACUACAGUUUCAGUGGGGAUGUUAUUAUGGUAAUGUGAAUUUGUCAAAGGUUGUCGUUUUCACAUUAUUUGUAAUGACUAAACAAAAAAAAGAAACACGUUUCCAGGGUUAUGGAAUGACUGAGUCAGGAACGGUGGCCACGUCAUUAGCGUUUGCAAAGAAACCAUUUAAGACCAAGUCCGGUGCGUGCGGGACUGUGAGUAGAAACGCCGAGAUGAAAGUGGUCGAUACCAUUACAGGAGUCUCCUUACCACGCAACAAAUCUGGCGAAAUCUGCAUCCGUGGGGAUCAAGCCAUGAAGGGUAAAAACAGUUAAAUGUUCCUUUGUUUGUUAAUUUUCCUUGGAAGCAUUUCUUGAUAGGAAAGAAUUGUUGUGAUCUUGUUAGGUUAUCUAAAUGAUCCAGAGGCUACUGCGAGAACUAUAGACAAAGAUGGAUGGUUACACACGGGAGACAUUGGGUUCGUAGAUGAUGAUGAUGAGAUCUUCAUCGUUGAUCGUUUGAAGGAACUGAUCAAAUUCAAAGGCUAUCAAGUGGCUCCAGCUGAGCUUGAAGCAUUGCUUAUUUCUCAUCCUUCUAUCGAGGAUGCUGCUGUUGUC
rnacentral:lncRNA from 1 species